rnacentral:lncRNA from 1 species
CGUUUUUCUUUUUAGCAGAUCGCAAGACUUUUUGAAAGUAAAAAAUUUUCAGAAGCUCUAGAUGAAAAGAAAAAAAAUACAGAAAAGAGAAAAGAAUUUGAAGAGAGGUAUAGAAUUCCUGAGAAAGAUGAGCAAGUGUGGAACACAAGUUCUCAGAGCAGCCAGUUACUGCCGUGCGACCCUCAGAGACUUGUGAGACUCACAAGUAAGAGUUCCUCAGAACCAAGAGGUACAGAUAAAAAAGAAGAAAAUUCAGCCAAUCAGUCCAAGUUUGUUAGAAGUGACUUGAGACAAAAAGAAAAUGAUCCGCAGAUAUUUAAUGACUCCGGUAUGGAUAGUAAUUCAAAAUCUUCACAUGUUCCAGCUGUUAAAAGU